ensembl:misc_RNA Metazoa_SRP Metazoan signal recognition particle RNA
GCCGGGCGCGGUGGCGCGCGCCUGUAAUCCCAGCUACUCGGGAGGCUGAGGCUGGAGGAUCGCUUGAGCUCAGGAGUUCUGGGCUGCAGUGCGCUAUGCCGAUCGGGUGUCCGCACUAAGUUCGGCAUCAAUAUGGUGACCUCCCGGGAGCGGGGGACCACCAGGUUGCCUAAGGAGGGGUGAACCGGCCCAGGUCGGAAACGGAGCAGGUCAAAACUCCCGUGCUGAUCAGUAGUGGGAUCGCGCCUGUGAAUAGCCACUGUACUCCAGCCUGGGCAACAUAGCGAGACCCUGUCUCUU